UUACAAUGCUGGCAACAGCGAUAAGGGAACCUCGAGUGCCAGGUUACAAAUCUGGCUGUCGAGAUGCCUAAAAAGCAUUUCAUAGCAAGGGCCGGGCAAGACCGGUGCCAGCCGCCGCGGUAACACCGGCGGCUCGAGUGGUAACCGUUAUUAUUGGGUCUAAAGGGUCUGUAGCCGGCCGGAUAAGUCUCUUGAGAAAUCUGGCAGCUUAACUGUCAGGCUUUCAGGAGAUACUGUCUGGCUCGAGGCCGGGAGAGGUGAGAGGUACUUCAGGGGUAGGGGUGAAAUCUUGUAAUCCUUGAAGGACCACCAGUGGCGAAGGCGUCUCACCAGAACGGACCUGACGGCAAGGGACGAAAGCUAGGGGCACGAACCGGAUUAGAUACCCGGGUAGUCCUAGCCGUAAACGAUACUCGCUAGGUGUCGGCCACGGUGCGACCGUUGUCGGUGCCGUAGGGAAGCCGUGAAGCGAGCCACCUGGGAAGUACGGCCGCAAGGCUGAAACUUAAAGGAAUUGGCGGGGGAGCACCACAACGGGUGGAGCUUGCGGUUUAAUUGGAUUCAACGCCGGAAAUCUUACCGGGACCGACAGCAAUAUGAAGGCCAGGCUGAAGACUUUGCCGGAUUAGCUGAGAGGUGGUGCAUGGCCGUCGUCAGUUCGUACUGUAAAGCAUCCUGUUAAGUCAGGUAACGAGCGAGACCCA
rnacentral:rRNA from 1 species